AAGUCGUAACAAGGUUUCCGUAGGUGAACCUGCGGAAGGAUCAUUAAUGAAUAAACCUAGUGGGUUGUAGCUGGCUCUUAGGAGCAUGUGCACGCUCAUUACUUUUAUCUCUCCACCUGUGCACAAUCUGUAGUCUUGAGGGAGAUGAGAGCAAAUCAGUAUUGGUUUGUGACUUUCUCUCGAGUCUAUGUGUUUUCAUACACUACAUAGUAUGUUAUUGAAUGUAUAUCAUGGGUCUUUGUGCCUAUAAAAACGUUAUACAACUUUCAGCAACGGAUCUCUUGGCUCUC
rnacentral:misc_RNA from 1 species